rnacentral:rRNA from 1 species
ACGGGGGGGGCGAGCGUUGUUCGGAAUUACUGGGCGUAAAGGGCGCGUAGGCGGCCGGCUCAGUCAGACGUGAAAUCCCUCGGCUCAACCGGGGAACUGCGUCUGAUACUGGCUGGCUCGAAUCCGGGAGAGGGAAGUGGAAUUCCAGGUGUAGCGGUGAAAUGCGUAGAUAUCGGGAGGAACACCGGUGGCGAAAGCGGAUCUCUGGCGCGUUACUGACGCUGAGGCUCGAAAGCGUGGGGAGCAAACGG